UCUCCUUCCAUUCCUUGCACUUCCGCUCCCACUACCGCACAGCGCCUUCUCCUCCGGCGCACGCGGAACCGUGCUUCCUUCUCCGUCGCACGCCGCAGAGUGUCUCAUUCUCCGGCGCAUCAUUGGCAGACGGCAGAUCAGUCCUGCGUUUCCUCUUCACGACCAGAACCGUCCCCUCCACGCGCCUCCUGGACCGCGGCUGCUUCUCUCGCGGCAGCCUCCCGCGGCCAGUGUGAGGGCUUCUUUAGCGACAGUCUCCCACACCAGAAAGUCCAGAACUGUCAUUGUAAAGUGAGAAUGCCCAAGGUGAAGACUAAUCACAUCAAAUAUCCUGAGGGAUGGGAACUAAUUGAGCCUACUCUCCGUGAACUACAGGCGAAGAUGAGAGAAGCUGAGAAUGAUCCACACGAUGGUAAGAGAAAAUGUGAGACACUAUGGCCUAUUUUUAAGGUAGCGCAUCAAAAGAGCCGCUACAUUUUUGAUCUGUACCACCCGAGGAAGGAAAUAUCGAAGGAAUUGUAUGAGUUCUGCAUGGAACAAGGCUAUGCUGACCGCAAUCUAAUCGCUAAGUGGAAGAAGCCAGGUUAUGAGCGCCUUUGUUGCCUAAGAUGCAUGCAGCCACGGGAUCACAACUUUGCCACUACUUGUGUGUGUCGGGUUCCCAAGCACCUGAGGGAGGAGAAGGUUAUAGAAUGUGUACAUUGCGGUUGCAGGGGUUGUGCUAGUGGAGAUUGAUUGGGAUGUUUCCAUGCAUUGGAAAAUUGGAUGCUGAUGCUGCUUCCUAGCCUUCUGAAUUUUUAUGGGUACCUUAUAAUUGAUGUUGGCAAUGCCUGUAAACCGAAGCUCAUGACAGGGUGGGCUGCUUUUGCAAGCUUCCCUCUUGUGAAGCUUACCAAAGAAGUGGAGCUUAGGCACAACGGUAAGGUUGUCGCCGUGUGACCUGGAGGUCACGGGUUUGAGGCGUGGAAACAGCCUCUUGCAAAAAUGCAAGACCCAGUUUAUACUCUUGUAGUUGAAUUUGGUGAGAAUUCAUAACAAUAAGCAUAGUAGUCAGAGGCGCAAGGCGAGCCGAGGCGCAAAGGGCAUUUGAAGCCGAGGUGUGAGGCGCCAGGUGAAGGUGCGCGCCUCAUGAAGGAAUGCCGAUUCUUGAUGUAUUAAAAGGGAGCUAUGGGAUCGGUUACGUUCUCCCUCAAUUUAGCGUUAUCUAGGAAAAUUAGAAAUACUUGUCUAGUAAUUCUAGGUGAUAAAAAAUAUAUUUUUCUUCAUCUCGUUUUUUUUUUUUUUUUUUCAAUUCUUAAUAUGCAUCCUUUGACAUUCUUUAGGAGUUACUCAAACAUACAUACAAAACAUCUUCAUAUAGUAUGUCUUAAAUUUAAUUUUGUACUUAGGAAAGUCAAUUCUUAAUUAUUAGGAGGGAACUCUACAUGGAACAAGUUAUUUGUUCUUUCAUUUUAAAUUAAUUUCACUGGGUAGGUCUA